AUUGAACGCUGGCGGCAUGCCUAACACAUGCAAGUCGAACGGCAGCACGGUCCAGUUUACUGGAUGGGUGGCGAGUGGCGGACGGGUGAGUAACGCAUAGGAAUAUGCCUUGAAGAGGGGGAUAACUUGGGGAAACUCAAGCUAGUACCGCAUAAUCUCUUAGGAGGAAAGCUGGGGACCUUCGGGCCUGGCGCUUGAAGAUUAGCAUGCUUACGAUUAGCUAGUUGGGGGGGUAAGGGCCUACCAAGGCGACGAUCGUUAGCGGGUCUGAGAGGAUGGCCAGCCACACUGGAACUGAGACACGGUCCAGACUCCUACGGGAGGCAGCAGUGGGGAAUAUUGGACAAUGGGGGGAACCCUGAUCCAGCAAUGCCGCGUGUGUGAAGAAGGCCUGAGGGUUGUAAAGCACUUUCAGUGGGGAGGAGGGUUGACAGGUUAAGAGCUAGUUAAUUGGACGUUACCCACAGAAGAAGCACCGGCUAACUCCGUGCCAGCCGCCGCAGUAA
rnacentral:rRNA from 1 species